GUCGCAAACUUGAACGGUUUAGUUACCGAGUGAUAGCCAAAAGGGGCACGAGCACAAGAAUUUUGGACCAGUCGGUGUCAGUGAGCGCUGUGAUGUGAUGUGAGACAGCAGAGAGAUGCUCUAAGAUCUACUACAGCAAACAAAAUAUAAAGAAACGUAACUAAAUGUAAUCUAGCAACUACACAAAAUAUAGAAAGUGCAGUGACGCGAGAGCGAAAAAUAAAAUAAAAGCGCGCAAGCAAAGAAAAUAGUAAUAUUAAUAAAAGAAGGUGUAAUAUAGAGGUGCAAAGUGAAUAAACUGCACAGAGCCACAGAAGCCGUGAGCCGCAGCAUGUGAAGUCGUCGGGCGCAGCAGCGGAGAAGCGAACAUACAAAAGAAACGAUAUUUAUGCUCUGAAUAUUGGGAGAGCUUACAAAAUUUACGUGGCAGAUGAAAUACAACGAAAUUCAAUUGGUUUUGAUUUUGCAAUAAAAACCAAACACACACACACA